GCGCCCAUAGUCUAGCGGUCAGGACGGCGGGUUCUCAGCCCGCUAGCCGGGGUUCGAAUCCCCGUGGGCGUACCA
rnacentral:tRNA from 1 species